GCCGCGGGCUGGGCCCUGGCCGCGCUGGGCGCGCCCGGCCUGCCGCGGGCUCUGCGCUGGCCCGACCUGCGCCGGACACCCGCCGACGGCUUCACAACGAUACGAAAUAUAUCUGAGUUGGACGAGCAGACUGAAGCUUUAAUGGCCGACGAUCCAACGUAGCGCAACACAGUGCGACGCUAGGGCUGUGCGGAGUAGUAAGGUGACUCACAAGCGGUCCCGAACCGCCUAUCGAUAUCGAUAUGCUUUCAUCAUCCAAAAAAAAGUAUUUUCAGACAUUUUUAUAAUGACAUAAUAUUGUAGCGGUGUUUUUUUAUCACGCUAAUUAUUGUUGUAUUAAAUUUACGUAAUAUAUUAACUUACCAAUGCCGAAUGGGUGCUGCGCUUGGUAAAUAAAACUUUUGAUUGCACGCCUUAAACAAUUUUUUUAAUUCAACUCCAUUAUCUUUUAAUUUAUCAGGCUAGUGGACGAUAUCAAGUAAAAAAGUCAUACUAUAUGAGUUUUUUCGUUCGUAUUGAGACCAGAACAACCGGCAACAGCAACCGCCCAUGUAAAUGCAUCUUAAGGGCGCAUCGAUUAUCUUGAUUAUCCGAUUACUGUUUCGGGAAGUGCUACGACCUUCUCCAAACACAGACAAGCCCAGAUAAGUAUUUGUAAAUAUAGUAUUUGAUUGUUUCUUUGGACUUGACAAAAUAUGGAUGAUUGAUGGAGUGUAACACAUUCUCCUAGUCUACAUUGUAUAGCAUUUAUAAAUAUAACAUAGUUUUAAAAGUGUUUUAAAUCAUUCCAUUGUCAUCUCUUUGACAUGAUUGUGUAUAAUAUUAUGACUAUAAUACCUAUCAUAAAGUAACUACUGAAAUAUUUUUCUAAAAUUGUGACGUGUACUUCCACUAAAAUGGGUUCCGUUUGCUACAAUUUGGUUAUUGAUAACAGACAAAAUAUUGUACCUAUAGUAAAAAUAUAAUGUUUAAAGAGUGUAGAAUUGUUUAAACUACUUAGGUACAGAUAUUGUAUCUCACGAAGGCGGGUGAACAAUAAUUGUAGAUGAGUGUCUUGUUACAACACGUCUUUUGUGUGUGUAAGCGCGAGUAUUGGCAGGUGCGAUAGGACGAUAGGACAUUGUCUAACUAAUAACAAUGACGGAACGGGCAGGUUCUUAUUAUUGUGCCCAGGUAUUGUUAAAAGUUGCUAGGAGCUUUCAUCGAUGGAGAUAAUUCGUCAAUCUUUAGAACUAUAAGCUAUAUUUUAUAUUAUCAUUGCCAUAUUUUAUAGUCAUUAAAACUUUUCUGUUAUUGACAUGUAAAAAAUUACGAAUCGUUUCUAGACAUGCAACUUUUUCACUUAAAACUCAUACUUUAGGUUAUGUUGGAAUUUCUUUAUAUACGACAUGCAAAUUAUUAAUGAAUGAAUGACAUCUGCUCUAAAUUGUCUAUUUCGAAAAUAUAGUUAACAGAUCUCUCGCUCAUCUGUAAAAGAACCGAUUAAAAUAUCUACCUAAGAAUCCCCGUUAUUGCCCGAGUGGGGAUUGUACUAUUAUUGUACUAUUACUGCCUGCGUUACUUUUUUAUAGUAUAUACUAUAUAUCCAGCUAAUUCCUAGUGAAAUCCCCACAAAAUCGGUUAAAUUAAAAUAAAAUUCUUGAUAAACUGUUAUAAUCAACUAAGAUUUUAAAAAGAUUCAUUAUGGAUGACUUUUCCGCGUUGAGUUCCAUGCUGUCUGUACUUCUUACGCACACAAAAACAGAGUGCAUGUAAAUGUUCAAUGUAGUAUAACAAUUAAGUCGCAAUCGCCUUCGUGAAAUAGAACAUAUUCUGUACAAUUUGGCAACUCCUACUUUGAUGUUAUCCAAUGUUUUAGAAGUGAGUGAUUUGGCCCACUGAUAUUGGAAACUUCAAAUAUUUGUUAAUUAAAGUAUAAUGAAAAUUAUUUUAUACUACACCUUCGGAAAGUGUAUUCGUAGUAAUCGAAAAUCGUCCUUUAUGCGUAUUAAACACACUAACGUGUUCUCGAUUUGUUUUUCUUUAUUUAUUUAUUAGAUAUUUUGACAGAUUGACCAAUUACAAUUUACAUAAAUCUAGUUAUCGGUUAAUUUUUUUUACAAAGACUGACAGUUUUCAAAUAGCUCUCUGCAGCAAAUAGAACAUUUGUAUAAUUGAUAUUAAUUGUUAUUUGGUUGAUUAAGUUAAAAUAAUUUCUUCCUCCUUUCCUUCCUUGUAGGUGUAGUAUAAAGCAAUAUAUUGUAUCACUCGGGUGAAAUUGCGACUGAGUGGAGUCAGGUGUAUUGAGGCCCUCGACUUCGUCUCGAGUCUGCACUCUCUGGAAUCGCUUUCUCCAUCUGAUUUAACCUCAAUUCACUACCGCAAAAUUUAAAAAACUGCCAUUCUUGUAUUUUAAUUAUUUGAUUUGGUUUAAUAGAACACGGUGCCGUAAUAUAUUACGUAAUAUAAUCAUAACUCAGUAACUAGUUAUUAAGUUUGAAUGUGUAUUUUAAAUGCACAUCGUACUUUAUAUUUUCGCUGUACAAACAGUUUGCCCCGAAACUAAACUUAUAUUUGUGUGAUUUUAACUUUUUAGACUUUGAUAUUUAGGAUGGUUUAUUUAUUUUACUUUUUACAUUUUGAAUGCUUGUUAAUAUUGACUGUAAGAUUGCGAUCUCUAUAAAGUUAUUAUAAAUAAAUACCUGUAAAUUAUUUAUUUUUUAUUUUUCUACCUGCAACACGAACAGUAUAAAGUUCUUUUUAAAAGUCCCAGUAAAGAAUAACAAAGCAAAUUGCGUACAAGACCUUUUUUUCGUGAAAUGUAAAUGUAAUAAGAACUAGGUAUAUACGUACUUUGAGAAUGAUAGUAUGACCAUAUGUUUUGUACAUAAUUAUCAAGUAGAGUCAAAUUUUAUGUUUAAUAAUUAUUUAUAAACUCCAUUUCCCGAAUUGACUGAGUACCUACAUACCGUGUGAAAAUGGGCUAAUUUCUCAUGAGCUCUUUAAUUAAGCUUCAAGUAUUAAACUAAGAGAUUAAAAAGUAUGUUCCGUGAUAUCGUUAGAUCAGCAAUGUUACCAGAUUUGCAUAUUUUCUUCAUUUUUGAAUUGACGCAUUUUUCUCAGACAAUUAUUUUUGUCCUUAGUUUUUGGCAAUAUUUUAAUUGUUGAAUUCUGAGUCGGUACUUCGCUACGUCACACGUCUUCUUUUAUAUUUUAUUGAGACGAAGAGUAGGGUAAAUUACUGGGUAGGAUCCUUUUGUGUGAUAAAUAAUAAUAUCUACAGAAUACAGAUUGUCUGCACAACCAGUAACGCUUUGUAUUAGAAACUAUCAUUGACGUAUUGUUGUUUAUAGUACGUCCAUGGUGACUAUCAAUUGUUUUGUUAAUUAUUAUUGUGUAUUAAUAAACAGCUUUAUUUACG